rnacentral:rRNA from 1 species
GACGGACGCUGGCGGCGUGCUUAACACAUGCAAGUCGAACGGAAAGGCCCUGCUUUUGUGGGGUGCUCGAGUGGCGAACGGGUGAGUAACACGUGAGUAACCUGCCCUUGACUUUGGGAUAACUUCAGGAAACUGGGGCUAAUACCGGAUAGGAGCUCCUGCUGCAUGGUGGGGGUUGGAAAGUUUCGGCGGUUGGGGAUGGACUCGCGGCUUAUCAGCUUGUUGGUGGGGUAGUGGCUUACCAAGGCUUUGACGGGUAGCCGGCCUGAGAGGGUGACCGGCCACAUUGGGACUGAGAUACGGCCCAGACUCCUACGGGAAGCAGCAGUGGGGAAUAUUGCACAAUGGGCGGAAGCCUGAUGCAGCAACGCCGCGUGCGGGAUGACGGCCUUCGGGUUGUAAACCGCUUUCGCCUGUGACGAAGCGUGAGUGACGGUAAUGGGUAAAGAAGCACCGGCUAACUACGUGCCGGCAGCCGCGGUGAUACGUAGGGUGCGAGCGUUGUCCGGAUUUAUUGGGCGUAAAGGGCUCGUAGGUGGUUGAUCGCGUCGGAAGUGUAAUCUUGGGGCUUAACCCUGAGCGUGCUUUCGAUACGGGUUGACUUGAGGAAGGUAGGGGAGAAUGGAAUUCCUGGUGGAGCGGUGGAAUGCGCAGAUAUCAGGAGGAACACCAGUGGCGAAGGCGGUUCUCUGGGCCUUUCCUGACGCUGAGGAGCGAAAGCGUGGGGAGCGAACAGGCUUAGAUACCCUGGUAGUCCACGCUGUAAACGGUGGGUACUAGGUGUGGGGUCCAUUCCACGGGUUCCGUGCCGUAGCUAACGCUUUAAGUACCCCGCCUGGGGAGUACGGCCGCAAGGCUAAAACUCAAAGGAAUUGACGGGGCCCCGCACAAGCGGCGGAGCAUGCGGAUUAAUUCGAUGCAACGCGUAGAACCUUACCUGGGUUUGACAUGGAUCGGGAGUGCUCAGAGAUGGGUGUGCCUCUUUUGGGGUCGGUUCACAGGUGGUGCAUGGCUGUCGUCAGCUCGUGUCGUGAGAUGUUGGGUUAAGUCCCGCAACGAGCGCAACCCUUGUUCACUGUUGCCAGCACGUUAUGGUGGGGACUCAGUGGAGACCGCCGGGGUCAACUCGGAGGAAGGUGGGGAUGACGUCAAGUCAUCAUGCCCCUUAUGUCCAGGGCUUCACGCACGCUACAAUGGCUGGUACAGAGAGUGGCGAGCCUGUGAGGGUGAGCGAAUCUCGGAAAGCCGGUCUCAGUUCGGAUUGGGGUCUGCAACUCGACCUCAUGAAGUCGGAGUCGCUAGUAAUCGCAGAUCAGCAACGCUGCGGUGAAUACGUCCCCGGGGCU